AAGUCGUGCGAGAAAGCUUCCUUCGGGAAGCAAGUAAAGCGGCGCACGGGUGAGUAACACGUGGGCAACCUGCCCUCGAGUCUGGGAUAACCCGGGGAAACCCGAGCUAAUACCGGAUACGGCCCGAGAGUCUUCGGACUUUCGGGAGAAAGGUGGCCUCUUCAUGAAAGCUACCGCUCGUGGAUGGGCCUGCGUCCCAUUAGCUAGUUGGUGAGGUAACGGCUCACCAAGGCAAAGAUGGGUAGCUGAUCUGAGAGGAUGAUCAGCCACACUGGAACUGAGACACGGUCCAGACUCCUACGGGAGGCAGCAGUGGGGAAUUUUGGGCAAUGGGCGAAAGCCUGACCCAGCAACGCCGCGUGCAGGAUGAAGGCCUUCGGGUCGUAAACUGCUGUCAGAGGGGAAGAACAGCUUCGUGGCCAAUACCCACGGAGCCUGACGGUACCCUCAAAGGAAGCGCCGGCUAACUCCGUGCCAGCAGCCGCGGUAAUACGGAGGGCGCAAGCGUUGUUCGGAAUUACUGGGCGUAAAGCGCGUGUAGGCGGUUCGGUAAGUCGGGUGUGAAAUCCCGGAGCUCAACUCCGGAACUGCAUUCGAAACUGCCGGGCUAGAGUCCCGGAGAGGAGGGCAGA
rnacentral:rRNA from 1 species